rnacentral:rRNA from 1 species
UACGUAGGCAGCGAGCGUUGUUCGGAGUUACUGGGCGUAAAGGGUGUGUAGGCGGUUGUUUAAGUUUGGUGUGAAAUCUCCCGGCUCAACUGGGAGGGUGCGCCGAAUACUGAAUGACUUGGAGUGCGGGGAGAGGUGAGUGGAAUUCCUGGUGUAGCGGUGAAAUGCGUAGAUAUCAGGAGGAACACCGGUGGUGUAGACGGCUCACUGGACCGUAACUGACGCUGAGACACGAAAGCGUGGGUAGCAAAACAGG